UACGUAGGGUGCAAGCGUUAUCCGGAAUUAUUGGACGUAAAGAGCUCGUAGGCGGUUUGUCGCGUCUGCUGUGAAAACUGGAGGCUCAACCUCCAGCCUGCAGUGGGUACGGGCAAACUAGAGUGCGGUAGGGGAGAUUGGAAUUCCUGGUGUAGCGGUGGAAUGCGCAGAUAUCAGGAGGAACACCGAUGGCGAAGGCAGAUCUCUGGGCCGUAACUGACGCUGAGGAGCGAAAGCAUGGGGAGCGAACAGG
rnacentral:rRNA from 1 species